AUUAAGACCAGAAGGAAGUGAGAAAAUGAAUAAUGCAAACAUUUGGGGAAAGAGCACUCUAGGCAGAGGAGGCAACUGCAAAGGCCACUGUUGUGGGUAUAAUUGUGUUCUCCUGAAAGACACAGAAACAGAGACACAUGGGAGAAUGCCAUGUGAUGACAGAGGAGAGACUGAAAUGGUACAGCCACAAGCUCAGGAAUGCCAAGAAUUGAGAGCCACCACCAGAAGCUAGGAAGAGGUUAUCACACUUUUUAUUGCUGCAUCGUUUCAACCUCAUGCUUAAGCAAUCCUAAAGGGCAAGAAAAUGAACCCACUAAACAUUUAUGCUUCAAAAUCACCAUAUGAGAUGGAAACUACUCUCCUUGCCUUAGAAAGGAAAGAACUAAGGCUCAGACAAGAUCAUAUGGUUAAUAAAUAGGAAGACGAAGAAUGGAACCAGGUUGUUGGCCUCCAAAUCUGGUGUCUCACUGUUGUACUUCAACUGACUCACAGUUUCUUCAAGCCUUUGUUAUUCUACAAAAAUACAG
rnacentral:lncRNA from 1 species